ensembl:lncRNA
AGAUCUUGCACCUGGGCCCGGCGUCACCAUGCUACGCCAUGUGGCUAGGUCUCCUCUGAAGCUAAGCAGGUUUAGUCCUGGUUGGUCCCUGGAUGGAAGACCAGCUGCUGCUGGAAGUAUUGAGGGACACUUUCCUUUGAUAAUUUCUUACGACUCACGGCGGUGUGAUAUGGAAGGCCAGUGGAACGUUCCGGUAGCACUGCAAUACCCGGUUCUUCUCCCAGUUAACGAGUCAGUAAUCCCUUAUGUUGAUUUGCCAUGGUCUCCCAGGACUAGGAGGCCAUAACCACAGCACAUUGACUGAAGAUCACAGAUAGUAACCACUGCAGUUUGGCCGUAAGACAUUUUGUUUGUGACCUGAGACGCCGUGCAUAUUUCCGCCGAGAACAGAGGCAGUCAUCCAUAUGUUUGUUUUAAUCAGAUCUUUAACUAGACUCGAAAGGC